CAGUGACGAACCAGGAUUCGGUGACUGUGUGUUUGGGUUGAGCAACUGCCACGAACUUUUACGACCAAGAUCACUUCCUUGUCUCUGGUGUCUUCACUCCACCAGUUUUGUGGGAUGCCAUCAACAAACUCUUCUAGGAUAAAUAUCUAAUGACAGCAUCAGGGUCUGGGAAGAAGAUAGAAAGUAAACACUACAUUAACAUGGUGAAUCCUUCCAAUUGUUGCAACCUUGUUGAUAAAAUCCUGUCCAUUAGCAUUGGAUUUACUUAACAUCUUUACAGCUACAAGUUGGCCACUUCGGAGCAUUCCUUUAAAUACAGUACCAAAGCCUCCUUCACCUAAUUCUUCCUUGAAACUUUUGGUCAUCUUACAACUUUAUGUAAGAUGCCCAUUUUUAUUGGCACGAGUUAUUUUUACUGUAGAAAUUCUUCAGCCGUGUCAUACAUUGAUAAAUGUCUCCUAUGCCAUUUAUAAAUCAAGAAUGCAAUCACGAAUGGAGUCCAGAACAUACUUUUUGCUGCAAGUGAAAUUUCUAUCCGGCCAAAAGGCAUUAACACAAUACCUCAAGCCAUCGAGGAAAGCCAAAGCCACCUCUUGGGUGACAAUCAGGUUCUUCUCCAUCCUCCUUGAAAUUCGUCUGACCUUCACAAAUGAUUUUGUAUGUAGCCGUAUCCUUGACACAUUUGUUGGUGAUUCGCAAAAUGGAGGAAUCAUGGUGUUGAAGGACUAUGCUGUUGGUGCUCACAAUGGUUUCAGGAACAUAACUUAAUUCUUCAAGAAUAGACUUGAUUUUCUCAUUAGAUCUGAAAAUUUU